rnacentral:rRNA from 1 species
UACGAGUGCCCCAAGCGUUAUCCGGAAUUACUGGGCGUAAAGCGUGUGUAGGCGGCGUGAUUAGUCUUUGGUCAAAGCUCCCGGCUUAACCGGGAAAAGGCCGAAGAAACGGUCACACUAGAGGGUGCGAAAGGUCUAUGGAACUCAUGGUGUAGGAGUGAAAUCCGUUGAUAUCAUGGGGAACACCGAAAGCGAAGGCAGUAGACUGGCGCAUUACUGACGCUGCAACACGAAAGCGUGGGGAU